rnacentral:lncRNA from 1 species
CGGCCCGCUCGUAGCUUCGUGUGUGCAGCGCAUGGCUGGACUUCAGCUUCCGCGAGGCUGGUUUCGAGGGAAAAGAUUAUUUUAUUUUUAAAAGCACAUGAAAGGAAUAUGGAAGAACUUUGGGAUACCUUGACAAAACUAAACCUUCAAAUUAUAGGUAUAGAUUAGGAAGGAGCAUCCUAAGCCAACACACACGUCUAUAAAGAUACAAGAAGCACACAGAACACCAAAUAAACUCUUUACAGUAUAAUCAUGGUUAAACCACCAAAUAAUGCAGAACAAAGAAAAAUAUUGAAAGUUGAAAAAGCCACAAGUAACAUAAACUAAACAAAAUUAUCUGCUGUAGUUGAAGAAAAAAAAACUUUCCAUGAUCCAAACAGUCUGAAGGAAUUCAUAUCCAAUAGACCAAGCCCACAAAGGAUACUGGAUGUAAUACUUCAGACUGAAGAAGCACAGCCAAGAUACUGCAGAAAGAGAGUGAGUGAAGCAUGAGGAGUGUGAGAGAAAACGACAUGUCUGUAAACAACACACACAACACAGGCUGGCUGAAAGAAUAAGAAACAAAAUCCAUCUUUCUGUUGUUUUUGAGGCCCCACAUUAGAGUAAAAGAAUGGAAAACAGUACUUCAAUCUAAUGGGACCAGGAAGCAAGAAGUACUGCAAUCCUGACAUCUGGCAAAACAAACACACAAAACCACCCAUUAACAUCAAUCCAUUAAUAGUGAUUUCAAUACCACACUUGAACAAAAAAUAAUCAGAGAAACAUCAGAUUAAUUAAUGUCAUGCGUCAAAUGGACUUCUCAGCAGGUAUCUAUAGAAUAUUCUACUCAAACACUGGAAACUAAUCAUUCCUCUCAGCAGCCUAUAGAAGUGUACCUAAAACAGACCCCAUCCUGGGAUACAAGUAAGUCUUACCAAAUUCAGAAAGGUUGUAUCCUUUCUGGCCAUUAUGCUGUAAAACUUAAAAUCAACAGCAAACACUAAGAUUAAACAACUCAUUACUAAAUGAUGAGUGGUUCAGAGAAGAAAUAAAAGAAAAUGACUGAAGCUAAAUGAAA